AUUGCCUCAGUACGGCGAGUGAGCGGCAACAGCUCAAAUUUGAAAUCUGGCCUCUUUGGGGUCCGAGUUGUAAUUUGUAGAGGAUGUUUCGGGCACCGCUCCGGUUUAAAUUUCUUGGAACAGAAUGUCAAAGAGGGUGAGAACCCCGUCUUGGACCGGCAGUAGGGCCCAUGUGAAACUCCUUCGACGAGUCGAGUUGUUUGGGAAUGCAGCUCAAAAUGGGUGGUAAAUUUCAUCUAAAGCUAAAUAUUGGCCAGAGACCGAUAGCGCACAAGUAGAGUGAUCGAAAGAUGAAAAGCACUUUGAAAAGAGAGUUAAACAGUACGUGAAAUUGUUGAAAGGGAAGCGCUUGCAACCAGACUUGCGCGCGGCGGUUCCCCCUUCCUUCUGGUUGGGUUAUUCCGCCGUGUCCAGGCCAACAUCGGUUCUGGGGGUCGGUUAAAGGCCUGGGGAAUGUAUCUACCCUUCGGGCGUAGACUUAUAGCCCCGGGUGUCAUGCGACCUCCCGGGACCGAGGAACGCGCUUCGGCUCGGAUGUUGGCGUAAUGGUUGUCAGCGACCCGUCUUGA
rnacentral:rRNA from 1 species